ACUAGCCAUCUGGGAGACUCUGGAAUCAUGAAGAGGCCCAGAAGCAGAACGGCACAUGGUAUAAGUCCUGCAAGCACAUGAUUGUUGAACAGCUGGAGAAUUUGGCCUUUUUUUUGCAGCAGUUGUUCUGGUGGCCUGAUGCCUUUUAUAGUAUCAUUUGCAUGUGAUACUUUUUGUGCUGAUGUAUCACACAUCUGUCAUUCGGAUCCGUAUCAAUAAUGAAUUUUAGUUAAGACACGAGCAAGAAGUUUUCAGGGCGAUCAAAGCUCGGAGUCAAAUGAGAAAGCAACAAAAUAAAACAGAUCAUGGAGCUGGAGGAGGGAAGGGAGUUGUUACGGAAAACUCACGGUUUUGACAGAAACAGGAAUUGGCUUAAUGUGGUGAAGC